ACGUUCCUUUUUUGUAAGUAAAGAAGGAAGAGAGGAAGCAGUUAUUCAUCAGAGCCUUGAUAUGAAACUGUGUCACAGUUUGGUCUGUUUCCUCUUCCUUCAAGCACUUCAGGAUGGAAACGCUGAUCUUGCUACUGCAGAAAUUCCCAUCCAUGCAGAAAGGGAGGGAGGAAACAUCACAGUUGGCUGUUUAUUUUCUUUGUCUGGAAGCUUGAGGCUCUUCUGUAAGGAAAAAUGUGAACAAGGAAAAAUUCUCAUUGAAACAACGGAGGACACAGCUCAACGAGGCAGAUACAGCAUUGAGUAUAAAGAAGGAAGAUUUCUCGAAACUAAGACAGUUAUGUAUGUGAGCAUCACAAAGCUGGAAGUGUCUGACUCGGGAGUGUACAGGUGCUCUUUGGGCAGAGUGGGUGUAGAUUUUUUUAAUUCAAACUAUGAAUUUCAGAUCUCUGUCAAAGAAGCCUCCACACCAACGAUGAAGAUGACACCACAGAGUUCAAACUCCACUGUUACAUCAUCCUCCACUGAAGCUUUCCAACACUUUCCCACACAACCUGCAAGUUCAGAUCUGCUGCUAUACAUGGGUCUGGUUGUGAUUGUCCUGAGCGCCUUCUUAUCAGCAGCUUUGCUGAUUUUCUGCAAGAGGAGGGCCACUAAACCCAAAAGACCUCCAGUGGAAAAUAUCUACUCCAGCAUCAUAGAUGACAGCCAGCUGUAUGAAGAGAUCAGAGAGGAGACAUUUCCACCUCCUGUGGAGAUGUCUUCAGUUUACACCACUGCCACAUGUCCCCAGCCAGAUGGAGUUGAAAGCUCAGAUGACUAAAGCAUUGCCACUUAGAACUUAAAACAGUUUGCUAUCCUUUUCUGAUGGAUCUCUGUCACCCAGGUGCUCUCUAAGUGAAGUGCUCUGGCGUGUUCACACAUGAAGAUUUGACGUACCACAGCAUCAAUCCAGGGACCAGAACCAAACCUACACUCACAGAGAUAUCAAAUCUAAAUUACAUAUUGUCUGUGUGUGCUAGGUCAUGCAUGCUUUAAAACAACUCUCAUGAGAUGAUGAAUGAGAUGGAUAGGAAAGAUAUAGUAAGGAAUAAAGCUAAAAGGACAAAAUAUGAGUUAAAAUGGUUAAGUUGUUGUGAUAACUACUCACAAAUGAACCAACUAAUAUAAAAUAUAGUAAUAUAAUUAUUAUUUGGGACUAUGAUGUUAAAAAAACGGAAUAAAAUCAAAGGAAAGGAAAUGAACUUAUAAACUUGUAUUAUAAACUUAUAAUUUAUCUAUGGACUUAUAGGAAGGACCAAAUAAAAAAUAUGUAACUAAAUCCAGUCAGAAACAAAGGAAAUAACAUUUGUUUUAUUCUAAAAGUAACUAAAAACACAUUUGUCUGCAUGUUAGUGCUCUAUGUAACAUGCACACUCCACUGACUGCAUCAGGAGCAACUUACGGCUCAGUAACUUGCCCAAGGAUACUUCAGCAUGUAGUCAGCAUGACUGAAGAAGCUGGGAAUUGAACCACCAAACUCCCAAUUAUUAGAUAUUUAAUUAUUGAUCUACAUCCUGAGCUGCAAGCACCCAGAUGCUUCCAGGCAGAAGAAGCUUAGUAAGAAACAAAUGUCAUCAUGAUUUAUUUGUGUACAUGGCACCACUAGAGGGUGCUCAC